GGAAUAUUGGACAAUGGGCGAAAGCCUGAUCCAGCAAUGCCGCGUGUGUGAAGCAGGCCUGCGGGUUGUAAAGCACUUUUAUCAGGAAAGAGACUCACAGGGCUAAUAUCUCUUUGCCUUGACGGUACCUGUUGAAUAAGCACCGGCUAACUCCGUGCCAGCAGCCGCGGUAAUACGGAGGGUGCAAGCGUUAAUCGGAAUUACUGGGCGUAAAGCGCGCGUAGGCGGCGUGAUAAGCCGGUUGGGAAAGCCCCGGGCUCAACCUGGGAACGGCAUCCGGAACUGUCAGGCUAGAGUGCAGGAGAGGAAGGUAGAAUUCCCGGUGUAGCGGUGAAAUGCGUAGAGAUCGGGAGGAAUACCAGUGGCGAAGGCGGCCUUCUGGACUGACACUGACGCUGAGGUGCGAAAGCGUGGGUAGCAAAC
rnacentral:rRNA from 1 species